UCCUUUGUUUACUGUCCCAUUGUGGUUUUUACUUGGGCGCGGUUUGGCUAUUUAUGUGAUGUGC
rnacentral:rRNA from 1 species